UUACGGGAGGCAGCAGUGGGGAAUCUUCCGCAAUGGACGAAAGUCUGACGGAGCAACGCCGCGUGAGUGAUGAAGGUCUUCGGAUUGUAAAACUCUGUCAGGUGGGACGAAUGGGUGAUAGGUAAAUAGCCUAUUGCCGUGACGGUACCACCGAAGGAAGCCCCGGCUAACUACGUGCCAGCAGCCGCGGUAAUACGUAGGGGGCGAGCGUUGUCCGGAAUUACUGGGCGUAAAGCGCGCGCAGGCGGCCUGAUAAGUCAGGUGUGAAACCUUAAGGCUCAACCUUAAGCGGUCACUUGAAACUAUCGGGCUUGAGGGCAGGAGAGGAGAGCGGAAUUCCUAGUGUAGCGGUGAAAUGCGUAGAUAUUAGGAGGAACACCAGUGGCGAAGGCGGCUCUCUGGUCUGCAACUGACGCUGAGGCGCGAAAGCUGGGGGAGCAAACGGGAUUAGAUACCCCGGUAGU
rnacentral:rRNA from 1 species